UGCAUGUGGCUAUGGAAAAGUAUUUAAAAAUAAAAAAGGGGGUGUUGAUGCAAAAGUAUAUCUGAAACACAAAGGGCUAAUACCCGAUUCUAAUGUUGAGGCGCGCCAACCGAUUUGACCUAACAAUCGUCAAAGGUGAUAACUUGAAUACUUUUGUCUUGACAACAGCGAUGCGCCCGGAUGCCACGGCCAAGAGGUACUCACGCGGAACUCGAGAAUUCAUCGAGUAUUGCUCGUUGAAUCCCUGAGAACUCGUAGAAAAAAAGAAA
rnacentral:lncRNA from 1 species